ensembl:scaRNA
GGCCUCUCUCCUAUGGGACAAUGGGUGGUCCCUUUUCUCCUCAGCCAGGGGUUGGAGGCCAAGAUCAGCCCUUGAGGAUCACUGUUGGGGCUGCCACAAGCUGGCAGCCUUGUUUUCCUACCUCAGACAUCU